CGCGGUAAUACGUAGGUGGCAAGCGUGUCCGGGAUUUACUGGGCGUAAAGGAUGUGUAGGCGGAUACUUAAGUGAGAUGUGAAAGCCCCGGGCUUAACCUGGGGACUGCAUUUCAAACUGGGUAUCUAGAGUGCAGGAGAGGAAAGCGGAAUUCCUAGUGUAGCGGUGAAAUGCGUAGAGAUUAGGAAGAACAUCAGUGGCGAAGGCGGCUUUCUGGACUGUAACUGACGCUGAGGCAUGAAAGCGUGGGGAGCAAACAGGAUUAGAUACCCUGGUAGUCCACGCCGUAAACGAUGAGUACUAGGUGUAGGAGGUAUCGACUCCUUCUGUGCCGCAGUUAACACAAUAAGUACUCCGCCUGGGAAGUACGGUCGCAAGAUUAAAACUCAAAGGAAUUGACGGGGGCCCGCACAAGCAGCGGAGCAUGUGGUUUAAUUCGAAGCAACGCGAAGAACCUUACCUAGACUUGACAUCUCCUGAAUAGCGUAGAGAUACGUGAAGCCCUUCGGGGCAGGAAGACAGGUGGUGCAUGGUUGUCGUCAGCUCGUGUCGUGAGAUGUUGGGUUAAGUCCCGCAACGAGCGCAACCCUUAUCAUUAGUUGCUACCAUUAAGUUGAGCACUCUAGUGAGACUGCCCGGGUUAACCGGGAGGAAGGCGGGGAUGACGUCAAAUCAUCAUGCCCCUUAUGUCUAGGGCUACACACGUGCUACAAUGGUGAGAACAACGAGAUGCAAUACCGCGAGGUGGAGCCAAACUUGAAAACUCAUCCCAGUUCGGAUUGCAGGCUGAAAUUCGCCUGCAUGAAGUUGGAGUUGCUAGUAAUCGCGAAUCAGAAUGUCGCGGUGAAUACGUUCCCGGGCCUUGUACACACCGCCCGUCACACCAUGAGAGCUGGUAACACCCGAAGU
rnacentral:rRNA from 1 species